rnacentral:lncRNA from 1 species
AGCCCGGGCUCCCGCAGCGCGGAGGCAGGGGCGCCCGCGGCUGUCUGCUCCUCUCACCCGGGCACCUCCCGAGUGGCAGCGACGAGCUCCCUGCAGGCCCAGAGACCCCCGACGGGACGACCUUGGCGGGCGGAUCCCCGCCCCCACCCGGGUCCACGAGCUUGGGUCCGCCCUGCCCACCCCAGCUCUGGCACGGGUCGAGGACAGAGGCGGCGAGCGCGAGGGGGACCCUGCCUCCCUGCUCGUAUAUGGCAAAGUUUCUCGCGGCGCUCCUGGGCUGCACGCUGCCGAGCAAGGGCGCCUCUCCCGUGCUGGAGGGCACCAUCUUUAGCACACUGGCUGGUGAGAAGUCCUCAUCCGACUACAGUAAGGAGCAGCAAUGGAAGCCCGUGUACUGCAGCCUCGCUGCCAUGUGCCUUUCCAACCCUCUCAUUGAGAAGCCAGGAGGCAAAAUACCAACCAAGACCCCAAAUAUAUCUGCCCUGCCCCUGGACAUUUUUAUCCAUCCUUUGAAGACCUUCAUCCUUCCACGUAGCUUUGUGCAGACUGCCACUUCUGAGACCACCCACUUUGCCUGUCUCUCAAUGUCAUGGUCCUAAAGAUCUAUUUCCAACUUGCACCAACAAGACGGGAGAAAAAGAAGAAACCAUGGUUCUCUCAGCAAUACAUUUAGAAAUUAAAAUACAUAAUUCUAUAAUGUUACUUAUAGCACAGUGCAUUAUGUGACAGCAACUAUCCCAAAGCAUAGUUAGUCUAUCUCAACACUGACGAAACAUAAAUCAGGGCAGGGAUCUUAACACCUCCUUUUCUCUGUCUUAAAUAAGUCAAUGGAACCCCCAGUGGCUGAAAGGACCCUGAUUUUCCUGUUACAUAGCAGAUGCCACACAUAGUUCAAUAGAACUCUGAAUUUGCUCACAAGAGUUUUCAAAUUGACAAGGCCUGUCCUAUCAAUGACAUUCCUGUUAGAUUAUGGGCCUGUCCCUUUAAAACGCCGGACAUUCUCUAAGUCAGAGACCAUAGCCUAAGAGACCAAACCCUGUUCCCUUCCAGAGCUGACAGGACCCUUUUGUGGGGAUGAAAACUCUACAGGAGAAAAGCAAAUCCAAGAUAAAGGAAACCUAACAGUGCCUUGCCCCUGAAGACGCUGCCCGUGGAAAUGGCAGAGUGGUGUCUUCCGAGUUCCUAAAUUAUGCUCAGAUUCCAGAGUCUCAGAGAACUUGCUCUCUCCUCCCUUGCUGUAGCCACUGUUUCUCCACUUAACAGAUCCAAAGAGUUCAACAGAAAGAGCCCUAAAGACAAGGCCAAUCAACCACUGGAAGCGUCCCCAAUGGUUCCAAAGAGCCUCCAAAGAGCAGGAAAGCAAGGCCAAGGUGCACCGAGACAGAAGAAACUUCCCAAGGGUUCGACUUUCUCCAGAAUUCAAAGCAAAAUCCUGUUCUUGAUUUUGCAGGCUUCACCAAAUAGAGGUAAAAAGACAGGAAAUGUCACCGGAGAGAAGUGACUCUAGCUGCUGGUGGCAACUGUCUUUCCUAUCCAUCCGCCGUCAAAUGCUUCAGGCAACAGAUGUCCUCAAACUGUGCCUUUGUGUCCCUUCACAGUCACUAUAUUGUCACCAGACCUAGCUAUGGAUUAUAGCCUGUGCCCCAAUGAGCCAGAUUGUACUGCCCAUCCUCAGUAAGCUAAGUCGAGGAGUCAAAUUAUUAGUGAAAAGCAGCAACAGGAGAUAUAUUCAAUAUGGCCACAUUGAGAAGAGGGAAGAAGAAACUCAGUAACACUGCCGAUGUCAUCUUCAGGGAUUCUGACGUAAGGAGGUUUAGAGAGAUAGCAAGAGACAUGUAUAAUUAGUCCAUCAAGGUGUGGCCCCUGCCCACCAGGGUCUCAGCUCCAAGUCUGACCUUCAAGAACAUCUGACAGCUUGGGAAUCUUUGUCCAGAGCAUAAAUUCCUCCUCUGGCUUCCCCCAGGGCUUCAGCCAUUUCCUUCCUGCCCAGGAGAUCUCUGGAGAGAUUCUUAUUCCUUCAGGUUCACUGUUCCAAUAGCCUGAUAGCCAAAGAAGGGGGAACACAGUUGUCUCUUUAGGAUAUAGUCAUUCUUGCCAGGCAGACUAGUUACAAAAUCACUACCCCCUCACUCACCGUUUGCUCAUGGAAAAUCACAGUGCAACUUGAUUAGAGGCUUACCAGUUCAGCUCAGUGGGAGCUUUUCCUGGCUUCCUUCUCCUCCUUCUCUAAGUCCCCCCCACUGCACCAUAUUUACUAGGUGUCUGUUAAUUCUACCGAUCUAUUUCUUCCCACUCAUCCCCUGGGUAUUUGGAUGGUUCGUUUAAUUAAAUAAUGACCUAUAAUGGGUUAAUAAUGGGCAGUUAGAGAGCUAGGGUAUGGCCCUUUGAAGGUUCCCUCCCAGAGUGAUGAAAUCACUCCCUUUCUCUCUAUUUAGUUCUCUAAUGCUGACAGAGGAAUCAAGGGCUCCACGCAUGCUAGGCAAGCACUCUAGCACUGUGCCAAGUCCUGAGCCCGCAUUCCUUCUGGGUGCCUCAUCUUACAAAAGAGUAUGGAUAAUGGAUAAUCUACAUAUGUCAGCAUACAGGUCCACAGCACUGAGUUUAUUUUUUAGCAAGGAGUCUGCACAGGCAAGGAGACAAUAAUCUCAGGUAAAUGCUGAACACCCCACAUCUACUUCUGGCCUCAGCACAUGUGCGUGGGUAUGUGGGUGAGUGAACACACACACACACACACACACACACACACUAUCCCCGAAUUGGAGAUUGGAGAGCAGAGACAGGCUAAACCUGGGGGCUUGCUGGCCUGUCAGCUUAGCCAAAUCAGGAAGCUCUAGGUUCAGCCUCAAGAAAGGAAGUGAAGAAUCAAUUGAAAAAGACAUCUAGAUCAGCCUCUGGCCUCCAGAUGGACCGUCAUGGGGCAAGCUUACUCACAUAUAUACAUACAUACAUGCACAUACACUGCAUAUGCAAAAGAAAUUUUGAAUAGAGUAAGCGUUAUAAAAUAUUUUUUAAAUAUUAAAUAUUUACUUUUUAAAAUAUUCGUUAUAAAAAUGGAAGAAACUAAAGUUGGAAGAAAAUUGAAAAGAAUUUCACCCUAUGGUGUCAUACUUCCGUCACUUACACAGACAGUCCUUUUCUCAGAAAUGUGUGAGGCCCAGAACCCUGCCUCUUAGCUUCAGGCUACAGCUGAAGGGGAGGAGAGUGAUGGUACGGGAAGACCCUGACUGGUCUGGGAACCUUUACUUCCUCCUCUGACAGGGCGCCCUUCUGACUCUACUGAACCUGUGAUUUAGAUGUGGCCUAGUUUCUGUGACCCAUGUAGGAAACGGAUAAACGAUUAAAGCUUUUGCCUGC